ACCUUGGAAUUGCUUUUAAAACUACAUAACUCGAAUUCGGGAGAGGAUAGCGGAAUUCUCAGUGUAGCAGUGAAAUGCGUAGAUAUUGAGAGGAACACCAGUGGCGUAAGCGGCUAUCUGGACCGACAUUGACGCUGAGGCACGAAAGCGUGGGGAUCAAACAGGAUUAGAUACCCUGGUAGUCCACGCCGUAAACGAUGUAUGUUUGUCGCUGGGGAGUUUACUCUUCGGUGACGGAGCUAACGCAUUAAGCAUACCGCCUGGGAAGUACGGUCGCAAGAUUAAAACUCAAAGGAAUUGACGGGGACCCGCACAAGCGGUGGAGUAUGUGGUUUAAUUCGUCGCAACGCGAAGAACCUUACCAGGCCUUGACAUACCAAUUAAGAGACGCAGAGACGCGUUUCGUCAGUUCGGCUGGAUU
rnacentral:rRNA from 1 species